rnacentral:rRNA from 1 species
CGCGCUAAUACCGCAUAAUCUCUAAGGAGAAAAGCAGGGGAUCGCAAGACCUUGCGCUUUUGGAGCGGCCGAUGUCUGAUUAGCUAGUUGGUGAGGUAAAGGCUUACCAAGGCUUCGAUCAGUAGCUGGUCUGAGAGGACGACCAGCCACACUGGGACAGAGACACGGCCCAGACUCCUACGGGAGGCAGCAGUGGGGAAUUUUGGACAAUGGGGGCUACCCUGAUCCAGCCAUGCCGCGUGAGUGAAGAAGGCCUUCGGGUUGUAAAGCUCUUUCAGCCGGAACGAAAGGGUUACGGUUAAUACCCGUGACUAAUGACGGUACCGGAAGAAGAAGCACCGGCUAACUACGUGCCAGCAGCCGCGGUAAUACGUAGGGUGCGAGCGUUAAUCGGAAUUACUGGGCGUAAAGCGUGCGCAGGCGGUUUUGUAAGUCAGAUGUGAAAUCCCCGGGCUUAACCUGGGAACUGCGUUUGAAACUACAAGGCUAGAGUGUGGCAGAGGGGGGUGGAAUUCCACGUGUAGCAGUGAAAUGCGUAGAGAUGUGGAGGAACACCGAUGGCGAAGGCAGCCCCCUGGGUUAACACUGACUCUCAGGCACGAAAGCGUGGGGAGCAAACAGGAUUAGAUACCCUGGUAGUCCACGCCCUAAACGAUGUCAACUAGUUGUCGGGUCUUAACGGGCUUGGUAACGCAGCUAACGCGUGAAGUUGAUCGCCUGGGGAGUACGGUCGCAAGAUUAAAACUCAAAGGAAUUGACGGGGACCCGCACAAGCGGUGGAUUAUGUGGAUUAAUUCGAUGCAACGCGAAAAACCUUACCUACCCUUGACAUGUACCGAAGCCCGCCGAGAGGUGGGCGUGCCUGAAAGGGAACGGUAACACAGGUGCUGCAUGGCUGUCGUCAGCUCGUGUCGUGAGAUGUUGGGUUAAGUCCCGCAACGAGCGCAACCCUUGUCAUCAAUUGCCAUCAUUCAGUUGGGCACUUUAAUGAAACUGCCGGUGACAAACCGGAGGAAGGUGGGGAUGACGUCAAGUCCUCAUGGCCCUUAUGGGUAGGGCUUCACACGUAAUACAAUGGCGCGUACAGAGGGUUGCCAACCCGCGAGGGGGAGCUAAUCUCAGAAAGCGCGU